CAUCAACUGGCAUGGACCCAGUAGCCAGACGCCUGCUCUGGAACAUGGUGACAAAGACACGUGAAAGUGGAAAAGCCAUCGUUAUGACCUCCCACAGUAUGGAGGAAUGUGACGCCCUCUGUACCAGUCUAGCCAUCAUGGUGCAAGGGAAGUUCACUUGCUUGGGCAGCCCUCAGCAUCUCAAGAGCAAGUUUGGCAACAUUUACAUCCUGAAGGUCAAGGUCAAGACUGAAGAUAAAUUAGAGGAUUUUAAAUGUUAUGUUGCAACAACAUUUCCAGGUGUUUGGCAUUUUGGAGGAAGCUAAAGAGCAAUUCGAUUUAGAAGACUAUUCUGUCAGUCAGAUCACACUGGAACAGGUCUUCCUGACCUUUGCUAACCCAGAGAAAGCAUCCAGUGAUGAUGA
rnacentral:lncRNA from 1 species